GAUGAACGCUGGCGGCGUGCCUAAUACAUGCAAGUCGAGCGAACGGACGAGAAGCUUGCUUUUCUGAUGUUAGCGGCGGACGGGUGAGUAACACGUGGAUAACCUACCUAUAAGACUGGGAUAACUUCGGGAAACCGGAGCUAAUACCGGAUAAUAUUUUGAACCGCAUGGUUCAAAAGUGAAAGACGGUCUUGCUGUCACUUAUAGAUGGAUCCGCGCUGCAUUAGCUAGUUGGUAAGGUAACGGCUUACCAAGGCAACGAUGCAUAGCCGACCUGAGAGGGUGAUAGGCCACACUGGAACUGAGACACGGUCCAGACGCCUACGGGAGGCAGCAGUAGGGAAUCUUCCGCAAUGGGCGAAAGCCUGACGGAGCAACGCCGCGUGAGUGAUGAAGGUCUUCGGAUCGUAAAACUCUGUUAUUAGGGAAGAACAUAUGUGUAAGUAACUGUGCACAUCCUGACGGUACCUAAUCAGAAAGCCACGGCUAACUACGUG
rnacentral:rRNA from 1 species